GGGUUGUGAGGUUAAGCGACUAAGCGUACACGGUGGAUGCCCUGGCAGUCAGAGGCGAUGAAGGACGUGCUAAUCUGCGAAAAGCGCCGGCGAGGUGAUAUGAACCUUUGACCCGGCGAUGUCCGAAUGGGGAAACCCAGUGUGUUCCGACACACUAUCGUUAACUGAAUACAUAGGUUAACGAGGCGAACCGGGGGAACUGAAACAUCUAAGUACCCCGAGGAAAAGAAAUCAACCGAGAUUCCCCCAGUAGCGGCGAGCGAACGGGGAGCAGCCCAGAGUCUGAAUCAGCUUGUGUGUUAGUGGAAGCGUCUGGAAAGUCGCACGGUACAGGGUGACAGUCCCGUACACGAAAAUGCACAGGUUGUGAACUCGAAGAGUAGGGCGGGACACGUGGUAUCCUGUCUGAAUAUGGGGGGACCAUCCUCCAAGGCUAAAUACUCCUGACUGACCGAUAGUGAACCAGUACCGUGAGGGAAAGGCGAAAAGAACCCCGGCGAGGGGAGUGAAAAAGAACCUGAAACCGUGUACGUACAAGCAGUGGGAGCACCUUCGUGGUGUGACUGCGUACCUUUUGUAUAAUGGGUCAGCGACUUAUAUUCUGUAGCAAGGUUAACCGUAUAGGGGAGCCGAAGGGAAACCGAGUCUUAACUGGGCGUUAAGUUGCAGGGUAUAGACCCGAAACCCGGUGAUCUAGCCAUGGGCAGGUUGAAGGUUGGGUAACACUAACUGGAGGACCGAACCGACUAAUGUUGAAAAAUUAGCGGAUGACUUGUGGCUGGGGGUGAAAGGCCAAUCAAACCGGGAGAUAGCUGGUUCUCCCCGAAAGCUAUUUAGGUAGCGCCUCGUGAACUCAUCUUCGGGGGUAGAGCACUGUUUCGGCUAGGGGGCCAUCCCGGCUUACCAACCCGAUGCAAACUACGAAUACCGAAGAAUGUUAUCACGGGAGACACACGGCGGGUGCUAACGUCCGUCGUGAAGAGGGAAACAACCCAGACCGCCAGCUAAGGUCCCAAAGUCAUGGUUAAGUGGGAAACGAUGUGGGAAGGCACAGACAGCCAGGAUGUUGGCUUAGAAGCAGCCAUCAUUUAAAGAAAGCGUAAUAGCUCACUGGUCGAGUCGGCCUGCGCGGAAGAUGUAACGGGGCUAAACCAUGCACCGAAGCUGCGGCAGCGACGCUUAUGCGUUGUUGGGUAGGGGAGCGUUCUGUAAGCCGUUGAAGGUGUGCUGUGAGGCAUGCUGGAGGUAUCAGAAGUGCGAAUGCUGACAUAAGUAACGAUAAAGCGGGUGAAAAGCCCGCUCGCCGGAAGACCAAGGGUUCCUGUCCAACGUUAAUCGGGGCAGGGUGAGUCGACCCCUAAGGCGAGGCCGAAAGGCGUAGUCGAUGGGAAACAGGUUAAUAUUCCUGUACUUGGUGUUACUGCGAAGGGGGGACGGAGAAGGCUAUGUUAGCCGGGCGACGGUUGUCCCGGUUUAAGCAUGUAGGCGGAGGUUCCAGGUAAAUCCGGUACCUUUUAACGCUGAGGUGUGAUGACGAGGCACUACGGUGCUGAAGUAACAAAUGCCCUGCUUCCAGGAAAAGCCUCUAAGCAUCAGGUAACAUCAAAUCGUACCCCAAACCGACACAGGUGGUCAGGUAGAGAAUACCAAGGCGCUUGAGAGAACUCGGGUGAAGGAACUAGGCAAAAUGGUGCCGUAACUUCGGGAGAAGGCACGCUGAUAUGUAGGUGAAGCCCCUGCGGGUGGAGCUGAAAUCAGUCGAAGAUACCAGCUGGCUGCAACUGUUUAUUAAAAACACAGCACUGUGCAAACACGAAAGUGGACGUAUACGGUGUGACGCCUGCCCGGUGCCGGAAGGUUAAUUGAUGGGGUUAGCGGUAACGCGAAGCUCUUGAUCGAAGCCCCGGUAAACGGCGGCCGUAACUAUAACGGUCCUAAGGUAGCGAAAUUCCUUGUCGGGUAAGUUCCGACCUGCACGAAUGGCGUAAUGAUGGCCAGGCUGUCUCCACCCGAGACUCAGUGAAAUUGAACUCGCUGUGAAGAUGCAGUGUACCCGCGGCAAGACGGAAAGACCCCGUGAACCUUUACUAUAGCUUGACACUGAACACUGGUCCUUGAUGUGUAGGAUAGGUGGGAGGCUUUGAAGUGUGGACGCCAGUCUGCAUGGAGCCGUCCUUGAAAUACCACCCUUUAAUGGCUGGUGUUCUAACGUAGACCCGUGAUCCGGGUUGCGGACAGUGUCUGGUGGGUAGUUUGACUGGGGCGGUCUCCUCCCAAAGAGUAACGGAGGAGCACGAAGGUUAGCUAAUCCUGGUCGGACAUCAGGAGGUUAGUGCAAUGGCAUAAGCUAGCUUGACUGCGAGAGUGACGGCUCGAGCAGGUGCGAAAGCAGGUCAUAGUGAUCCGGUGGUUCUGAAUGGAAGGGCCAUCGCUCAACGGAUAAAAGGUACUCCGGGGAUAACAGGCUGAUACCGCCCAAGAGUUCAUAUCGACGGCGGUGUUUGGCACCUCGAUGUCGGCUCAUCACAUCCUGGGGCUGAAGUAGGUCCCAAGGGUAUGGCUGUUCGCCAUUUAAAGUGGUACGCGAGCUGGGUUUAGAACGUCGUGAGACAGUUCGGUCCCUAUCUGCCGUGGGCGCUGGAGAAUUGAGGGGGGCUGCUCCUAGUACGAGAGGACCGGAGUGGACGCAUCACUGGUGUUCGGGUUGUCAUGCCAAUGGCACUGCCCGGUAGCUAAAUGCGGAAAAGAUAAGUGCUGAAAGCAUCUAAGCACGAAACUUGCCCCGAGAUGAGUUCUCCCUGAGACUUUAAGUCUCCUGAAGGAACGUUGAAGACGACGACGUUGAUAGGUCGGGUGUGUAAGCGCAGCGAUGCGUUGAGCUAACCGAUACUAAUGAACCGUGAGGCUUAACCUUACAACGCCGAAG
rnacentral:rRNA from 1 species